AAACUAUAAAGUGAGAAAUCCUAUAAAGUGAGAAAUCCACUUGUUACAUACAACAAAGAAAAAUAUGGCUGAAAUUGUCAAAUUUAUUUAUGUUAUAAUUAUCUUUUUUUCCCUAUUACUUGUUUCAAUGGAAGUUGAUGGUAAGCCACUUUUAUCAUUUGUAAAUUUCCUUUACUUCAUAGGAAAAGUUAAAGCGAUGUAGUAGCAGACUAGGAGUAGUAUUUUUAUUUUUUUUUACACUUUCUGUUUAUUUAUUUAACCAUAAAUCCAUAAUCAUCGGAGUCGUGCAAAUGGUGAUUUGUAUAUGAAAAUUAAUCUAUUAUUGUUUUAUAUUGUGACAAUGUUUUUUAUUUUUUUGUUGAAUAGUAUAUUGGCUAGAAUUUCAUUUUUUUUAAUGAAUAAGUGAGAAUAUCGGGGUUCGAACCCCGAUCACUACAAUAACAUAUAAUAUCCUUACUAAUUGAGUUAUGUUCAUGGGGACAUUGUGACUAUAUGAAUUGAUUAAUUUAGUUCAAAUGAAUAAAUAAAUCUAAUUAUUAAUGAAUCAUUCUCUGUUUCAAUGGAAGUUGAUGGUAAGCCACUUUUAUCAUUUGUAAAUUUCCUUUACUUCAUACACAAUAUUGUGUUGUUACAUUAUAGUUUGAUAUUUUUUCUUUUUAUAAUUUCAAGAACCUUGUAGUUUUAGUUUUGUAUAAAAUUAUGAUCAUGAAAUGAAAUAAAAAAGUAAGUAAUAUUACUUAGAAUGUCUUCUCUUUUAAUUUCGGAGGUAUCGUCGUGACCUUGAAUUCAAACAUAUCACAUUUUUUUAAAUUCAUACAAAAUAUUUUAUCUCAUUUUAUCUACAUUAAUUAUUUUUCUUUUUUUCUUCAUUACAGGAUGUACAGGAGAUAUUGAAUGUAAACGGAAAAUGUGGUGUCCCAGUCCUUCAAAACCAAUGUGUUUAUAUCCAAUGUGUGUAUGUGCUAUAAUAAAGAUUAUAGUGAAAUGAUUAGAUUUUGUAUGGAGAGUGCCAUACCUAAGAGAGGACAUGAUUGCCCUUCUAGUCAAUUAGUUGUUGUAUUGGUACCCUAUAAUUUAGAAUUUUUUGCUUUA
rnacentral:lncRNA from 1 species